GCCAAUUAUAGCUCUAACAAUCUUCAAAUAAACUAUUUAUACACUUAUAUUUAAAACAUUUUAAUUCCCCUAGUAUAGGAGAUAGAACAGAAACAUAAUGAAGCAAUAACAAUAGUACCGUAAGGGAAAAAAUGAAAGAUAGAUUGAUAGCAUAAAAAAGCAAAGAUUAAACCUUGUACCUUUUGCAUAAUGAUUUAGCCAGUCAACAUAGGCAAAAAGAAUUUAAGCCUAGAACCCCGAAAUUAAGUGAGCUACUAUAGAACAGUUAUUUAUGAACUUACUCCUCUAUGUGGCAAAAUAGUGAGAAGAUUUUAUAGUAGAAGUGAAAAACCUAUCGAACUUAAUGAUAGCUGGUUAUCCAAAAUACGAAUUUUAGUUCAACCUUAAGUUUAACACAAAGCAUACGAUAUCAAAGCAUAUCUUAGACUUAAUAGUUAAUCAAAUGAGGGACAUCUCAUUUGAUAAAGUGGACAAACUUCAUAAGAGGGUAAUGACUUAUUUUAACCCCAUCGUAGGCCUAAGAGCAGCCACCAAUUAAGAAAGCGUUAAAGCUCAAACAUAGAAUUUUAUUCAAUACCCUAAAACUAUCAAAACCCCUAUAACAAUAUUGGAUGAUUCUAUUAAACUAUAGAAGACAUAAUGCUAAAAUCAGUAAUAAGAACUCAUUCUCCUUGCAUAAGCCUAAGUUAGCCAACGGAUUACCCACUAACACCUAACAAAUACAAUAUCUUUAAUUAACAACCAGUGAAUUACCCCAAUAAUUGUUAACCCAACACAGGCAUGCACUACUAAAGGACAGAUUAAAAAGAAUAAAAGGAACUCGGCAAACCAAAACCCCGCCUGUUUACCAAAAACAUCACCUCUAGCAUUUCAAGUAUUAGAGGCACUGCCUGCCCAGUGAAUUAAUUUUAACGGCCGCGGUAUCCUGACCGUGCAAGGUAGCAUAAUCACUUGUCUCCUAAAUAGAGACUUGUAUGAAUGGCAAAACGAGGGUUUAACUGUCUCUUUUUCUCAAUCAAUGAAAUUGACCUACCCGUGCAGAGGCGGGUAUAACUUUAUAAGACGAGAAGACCCUGUGGAGCUUAAAAUUACAACUUAAAUUAAUUUAUACUAUACCCUAAGGGAUUAAUCUUACAAAACUUUUUAAGCUGAAUUUUUGGUUGGGGUGACCUCGGAGCACAAGCAACCCUCCGAAUGACAUAACUAAGACUAACACAUCUAAGUGCAACCUAAGCCAGUAAUUGACCCAAAACUUGAUCAACGGAACAAGUUACCCCAGGGAUAACAGCGCAAUCCUAUUUAAGAGCCCAUAUCGACAAUUAGGGUUUACGACCUCGAUGUUGGAUCAGGACACCCCAAUGGUGCAGCCGCUAUUAAAGGUUCGUUUGUUCAACGAUUAAAGUCCUACGUGAUCUGAGUUCAGACCGGAGAAAUCCAGGUCGGUUUCUAUCUAUAUAAUAAUUUCUCCUAGUACGAAAGGACAAGAGAAUUAAGGCCAACAUUACAAACAAGCCUUACAACUAACUAAUGAUCUUAUCUCAAUUAGUUAAUGCAAGAUUUUAUUACUCUAGAGAAGAGUUA
rnacentral:rRNA from 1 species